CAUAAAUAUAAUUUAUUAUUAUAAAUUGUGUACCUCAUUGUGAUGUACAUGACAACUAGUAAAAUGCAGUUGUUUACUUCACCAAGAUAAAGCCUUGGAAGAGUCUUGACUGAGGAGGUCUCAAGUGCUCUCAGUGCUCCUCAGUUCUUAUACUUCACUGGAGAAGAGACAAAGCAGUGUUGCUUCCUGCAUCUCUGUCCCUUUGCUUCUCCUUGGACUUGCCAACCAUGAAAAACAGGAAUGCAGCUCCGUCUAUCCCCAGUGAGUCUGCAGGACUCAGACUGCUAUGAACACAAUGAGAGAAUACCAGGUUGAAAGGGAUUGCAAGGACCAUCUAGUCCAACCUUUUUUGGUAAGAGCAAGGUCUAGACAUGGCGUAGUAUACUGUCCAGCUGAACCUUAAAGGUGUCCUAAACUGGAGAGAGAAUCCACCAUUACUCUGGAGAGAUUAUUCCAAUGGCUGCUGUCCUCCUUGUAAAAAAAUUUCCUCUUGUGCCCAACCAGAAUCUUCCCAGGAGUAACUUGUACCCAUCAUUUCUUGGGAUGGCUAUCCCUUGAGACAGCUCUAUUGGUAGGUACACACUCAGUGAUCUGGUUUGAGACUAGGACUCAGCUGGCCUAUGAGAUUCUGGAAACUGUAUCAUGGGCUUGACUAAGUAAGAAGUCAAAGGUAUUUUGUUUUGCUUUCAUGCUUUAUUCUUAAGCACAUUCAAGAUUGUGAGACACUUAGACAUUGUGAUGAUACUGGAGUGCACUCAGCAUUAUACAGCUUGAGCACUCCAUGAUCUCAGAUGUGGCCAUCCACCACUUAAACUCUACUGGGGUUCUCCUGUUGACCUCAUUUCACCAACAGGAAACUGAGAGACAAAGAUUCAGAACAAGAGCACCAAAGCUACUGGAGUAAAAGAGUAGCUUUCUUCAUGGAUAGCUGGGGAAUGCAAAAGGCAAAGUUACAGCCAUAUGUGCUAUGCAUGUCAAAAUGGGGAGAAACGUGCCUGAGAGAGAUGGAGCCAAGCUGCCCAGCUGGUUCCUGUGGGUGUGGUGGAAAGAUGGGGAUUUAUCAAACAGUGCUUUCCCUUCUGCACUCAGGCAGGUAUAUUGUCUUUGGGUACAAGGAGUUAUCUUUUUGGAUGAUGUUGUUGCUAGAAACUGACAAAAGAAGAUAAGGCAAUGGUGUUUUCUUUUCUGGAAGACCAUGAAAAAGAUUAUUUUGAUGAAAAAAUUGCUAACCACACUCUGUAUCUUGACAUAUCACUUAAGGUGAUGGUGGUAUUUUGUGGAUUUGGCUGCAGGGGUCUUGCCCAAAACUGCACAAAUCAGCAAUGAAAGAAGCAUCUGAAACCCAGGUGUUCCAAACAUUAGAUUUGUGCCCUCUGUAUCAAAAUAGUUCUCUUCCAUCUGCUUGGAGUCACAUGUAUGUAAAACAGGCUUUCUACAUAAUGUCACACCUGAACAUCCUGAUCUAGACCUGAAGUCUUGCUUGUUGUCUUUCUGUACCAAGAAAAACCUGUGCCACCUCACCAUCCUAAUGAAGGGAGAAUUUGUCUAUGAAAUGCAAGACAGCACAGAAGGGGGCAGGGCAGAACCUUAGAAUAAAAGAACAAGAAAUUCAAAUUAGGCUGAAGAAGGGAAAAAUUUCCAACAGAAGAAUUAACAAGCUUGCUUAAGAUAACAGGAGAUAUGGUAAACCAGUUCUUCAAGGACCGAGAUAAUUUCAAUUUUCUUCACUUAAAAUUCCAGCCUGCAGUCUCUGAUGAACUUCUUGUCAACAUGAUACAGGCUUGACACUGCUGCCCUUGUUUAGGGUCGUCUCCUCUUCUUGGCUUCUAUAAAGUCCAGAGUAAUUUUCAGUCAUCUGUUCAAGACAGGGUUCAAAGCUCUGAUAUUACUGUUAUUCUUUUUCUUCUUUCAGUCCACAUUGGUAUACAUGUCCUAUUUUCUCUCAGAAACAAAGCUGAAGAUCUGCUUCAUUCAUUGCCUUUCAGGGAAAGAAUCAAAACGGUCUCAUCACUAAGGUUAUAUGGGAAAGUCACACAAGGGCAUGCAAGUAAUGGCCUUGUGGCCCCCUCAGCAGUACUGGAUCCACUCUUCAUGAAAGAUCAUGAAAAUGAUCCAAAUUAACUAGAGUAGUAUGCAUGUGAAGGCCUCCAGAUUGCACCCAUGUUAAAAACAAGACAUGGAAUUUGCCACAGCAAUUAACAUGCAGUAACAUUUCUGAAUUGGUAGUGAUGUUUGAACUUUCAGUGGUUAGCAGAUAGGCUAACAAAUAAACUGUGCACACAAAUAAAUUGCAUCACAAAUUUACAAUGUUUUACCCAGUAUCUGAGGUCAACACCUUAAAAAGGCUGUGCUCUAUGAAAAAGCACAUACACAGGAGUGAUCUGCAGUUACCUUGUCAUUCCACCUUCUCUGGAAACCAUAACUGGAAAGGUGUAGAUAACUAACGAGAUAAAUAUUACACUAACAUUUCACUGUGGGUUUCUAAUACACACGAUACAGACACUAGAACAGUGAUCCCAGUAUCUUUAUCGUAUAUUAACACAUUUCUGAUAACAGUCUUGCUCACUCUAACCUGCCUUUUUACUGAAAUAACUUCGUUGUAAAAAAAAAAAACCAACCCCCCUUUAAAACACUGCUUUGGGAGGUACAGACUGUCAUGGUAGUAAAAAGACUUGGAUACAAAAGAUGGGGCUUCAUUUUCACAAGAGUAUGAAAGCAAGCCAGAAUCAACACUGAACACUUGUUUGCUCAAUGACUGACCUAUGGCAAGGUCACUCUCUGUGAACUGAAAAUCUACAGAAUUCAUUCUAAAAAAGUCCCACAAACAAAAAUAAUUACUCUGCGUAGUAUGUUGUCCAUAUAAGGUGCUUACAAACACAUGAACUUUAGAGAAAAUACCUUCAUUUUCUGAUAAGUUGCUGAAAUGAUGCAGUUUUGAGGUGUGCCACUAUUUGAUGGUUUUUUUCCUUGAACCUCACCUCUCAGUUUAUCAAGUUUGCUCUUCAAAGUAGUAAUCUUAUUGCUGAAGAUAAAAACACUUUGAAAAUACUGUGACAGAAUGAAAAAGGACAAGUACAUGCUAUGCUACUUUGUGAAAAAAAUAAACAAAAACCCCCAAACCUUUUAGGGAGUUACUGAUUAUUUGUGAUUGCUAAUUUUUUGAGUUCAACUCAACAGGAACUGCCUGUCAGUUGUCUACUUUUAACUGUUUGAGAACUUCACAGGGUCACCAAGAAAGCAGUAGGAUAAAGUCUCUUUUUAUUUUUGCUGGUAGACCUGAAUGCCAACAUGAAAGUAAUUUCUGACACUGCACUUUGUACUCUUUGCUAUGAAUGUCUCUCAUUAUUUUGACACUGAUAAUGGUCAAGUUUGUGUUGCCUCAAGGGAACUACAGUAACUGUAGUAACACAACAAAAAGCCAUCUAGAGAUGCCAGGUCAUCCCCUGUAAACAUACCAAAACACACAGACAGUGUUGGUAGAAUGGUGGUAAAAGUCCACUGAUAAAAUAUUUGUAGUCUUUAAACUCCACAUCUAGCUUUAACAUGUAGACCUAUAAACACAAUUCCUAACAUGAACAUGACCACAAACAGGUAUUACUGACUUGGUUCAAGAGGUAAGGAAUAAAUACAAUUCUGCUCUCUGGGGAUCCAGAUGGAUGAAGGAGGGGGAUUGCACAGUGCAGCCAGAGACAGCACAGAAGCAAGGCUGUGCCCACACUCCAGGCCAGGACUGCAGGGUACAGGCAGCUGGCACUCAACAGCAAGUAUGACAAGGGCUGCUUUACCUGCUCACGUGGCACAUGCCAAACAGCAUUCCUACAUUCUGUAAACUUCUGAAACUGCAGCUAGCUCACAUACAACUGUAUGCCACUACUUUGGUGAGACUCAUCAGGAAAGGUGUCUUCAAAGACUGACUAUGCCAAACUUUUCAUCCUUGCCGGGUGUGCAGAAGUGUAUGUGAACACUGGUGUUUAGCCUCCUCUCCCCUACUCUACCAGACUUCUAAAAAUAUCACACUUAACCUUAUCUACUGCACUUGCUUCUGAAUCAAACAGUUUUUUAUUUAAGCAAUGUGAAGUAGAAGGAAUUUUUAGCAAAGAACACCUUGGCAAAGAAAUUGUCCUUUUAACUAAAACUAGGCAUCAUGACAUAAAUAUUAAGGAAAAUGUAGAACACCAUUACCUAGUGCUUCUCCAAAAGUGUGUUUCUUGCUAGGUUCACACUAGGUGGGGUGGCAGAUAUCUUCAUUUUCUACAGUAACCAGAAACUAUAACCAGAAACCCCUAACCCAUGUGUUAAAGUUACAGUGAAGUAGUACUUCUUUCUUAUUUGCUCUGAACAAUUGUAACAGUUAUGCCUACAAAAGUACAUUAUCACCAAAAUCAUGUGGUUAUCUCUGUGGAAUUUAUAGUUUGUGCAUCCACAAACCCAUAUGCAAAAAGUGUACUAUAUGUUUACGAUACAUAAUGCGUACUUCCUUCAUUUACAAACAACAGCAUAUGCAGUAAGAAAAUGUUAAGCAAAAUACACCCUGAUAAUCAGACGACCAUGAAAGUUUAAGCCUCUCCAACAAUUAACAUCUUUCAUAACCCUGCUAGAAGCAUUAAUGAAGAUUAAAGUGUGAAAAAUGUACAUUCUUUAUUCUGCUGCUUAGAUACAGAAUAAAAUUUAACUUUUCAGAAAAUAAAACUAUAGCUACAGCUUUGAGAGCUGUCAGUUUUCUUUCGAGGAUAAAGUACAUGCACUUUUUCCAGUUACUUUAUUGCACAUAAUGUACAGUCAUAAAUGGUGUUUAUUUACAUGUGUUUUGGCAACGUCCAUGUUUGCUUUUCCCCUCAGAAUACAUUAUUUUGCACAAACAAAACCUUAAAUGUUUCACACAAACUGCCAUAAUACAAGUCAAAGCAUAUAUGUAUAUAUAUGUCGCUUUAUUGUUGCUGUAUUUUCAAUUAAUUCUAAGUUUCAGAUCUCAGUUAAACUUUGUCUUGGGAGGCAGACUCCUCCCAGUUAGUCUGUUGUCAAAGACGGACACCCGAACUGCAGGCACCAAGAAAUCAGGACUGCAGCCUGCUGUGCCUAAGCCCCAGCCCCUAUGCACCACCUGCAAUUAGUGCGCAGGCACAGAGAAGGAAGAGCACUGUACUUUCGUUAACCAGUUUGAUUCAACAUUGAUUACCACGUGUUAAUGUUAUGGGUCAUGUGUUAUUGGGACAGUAUUCUAUUAACAGUGUUUAAGAAAAGUGUAUCAAACGUAUUAAAACAAAACAGAAAUUCCAGGAACAAUUAUGUACUUCCAGCCCUAGGAAUGUGUUACUCCGUUCUGUUCAAUGUGCUAUUUCUGAUAACUGGUAUUUUUAUCCAGACACAAAGAACUGUUUCAUAUACUCAUGUUAUGAGUAUAACCUCCAAGUUAAUUUCUUAAAACACACUUCAAUGUUUCCCUACAUUUUCAGGGCAGAAAACCUUUUAGUGGUCCCCCUCAUGGAGUAUAAUCUGGCAAUAAACCUUUUGCUACAUGUAGAUUUUUGACACACUUUUAAGAGGUAUGUUCAAAUGGAAGAUCAGUAUUGUCAGUACACUGAACAUAUGCUCAUUAAAAAUAUCUGAAAGAUGUUCUUGAAGGCACUUUAUAAUGUGCACAAAAAUACUCUUGGAGAAACCAAAUUUAUUGUACUUUGGUGCAACACUUAAGAUGUGAAUAGCAUUGCUCAGCAUUUGCUGUGAAAGGCUAGAUUGUAUUUUUGCUUAUAUUCUGAUCUACCAAAAAACAAAAAUUAUCCUAAGAUAAAUCCCACUUUACUGGAUUCGAAGAGCAAUUAUCUAAUUGUCUUGAAUGUAUGAUCUUUCAAAUGUUAAGACAAUUUAACCUCAGAAUAGGAAAGAAAAAGAAACUAACUUCAGUGAUUUAGCUAUACUGAAGUCAUCAAAUUCGGUUCUAAGAACAGUUCAUAUCCUUUCCUCUAAGUGGGCAAAGCAUAAAAUAGUUAAAUUUUCAGACAGGCACUCAGAUAAAUUGAGAAAUGCCUUUCGUGGACAACAAUAAUAAAUAUAUUAUUUUGAUUUUAGAGUUUUCCUAUUUUUUUCUGUCCUUCGAUUUUAAAGCACUACGAAAUUUACAGCAACUUCAACUACUGCAUAUACUGAAGAAUGAGAUGAAAAUGCACUGUGGACGAAGUAUAACAGUAGUUUAAUAUCUAUUGAUAAAAAUACAAAAUAAUAAUAAUAUUACAGAAAAGCAGUAGUUCUGGUAACAGAAGUGUUCUUUAGUGUAAAACAUUAAAGUUUUGUUCCAUAUGAAUAGUUUCACCUAUACUGGACAGAGUACUUCACCAAACUACACGUGCACCUCUGAUAAAAUUCUUUAAGAAUAUAAAUUAUUUGCUCUAUAAAGACACUUGUUCCAUUACCCAGUCAAAAGGUCCUGAUAUUAUCUGUUGUAAAUAUCUAAUAUUCUUAUCAUCUGCCUGUGGCUGAGUUUUAGGAUAGCAAAAUGAUCUGUUAAAUUAAAAAGAAAAUUCUGCACAAGUGAAACUAUUCAAAAUAAAUUGGCAUUUCAGCUCUACCUAAAAUUUUUGUAAAACAAAGAACUACAUGCCAUUAGAAAACUAACAAACAUCAUCAAAGCUAGACUAUUUUUCUCCAUAAAAUAAAGAUGCAUAAAAUUUUAAUUACUAGCAAUACUGUGAGAACUCUAUUUAUAUUGCAUGUAUUUCAAGAUAAAUAGUUUGAAAGUCAUAAAUUAAAGGAGGAAUUUGAACAGAUUCCGAUUCCUCAUCUGGAUUUUUACUAUCUACAGGAAAAAAAUGGGCUUUCAGGAAGAAAACUGAAAAGUUAUCUACACUGUGGAUCUCCCUCGACAUUAGCGGUAAUUACUGCUGACUCAAGGUUACAAAUCUAGAACUACCUGGGAAAUGUAAAGCAGCCUCAGACAGUGUAGUUCUAAGAAAGGGGAAACGUAUCUGUAAAAAUAUUUGCAUAGACGUACACUCAAAACAGCAUUUUCACCAUCUCAAUUCCCUGCAUUCAUGUUGCUCCAGUCAUCUACAGGGAUAAAGAUGACAAAAAGGCAGCUCUGGAAUUUGAAAUGGAUAUUGCUUGGUAAUUUAGUGAAAAGUGUAUUUUUGUACUUUCUGCAGUCAUUAGGAAAAGAUCCAGUUUGACCUUUGGCUUACAGAAGUUGUACUCCCCUGAGCUAGGCAAUACUGACAGACUACAGCAGAAGUACCAAAAAAAAAAAAGUUACUUGAAAUAGUGUGGCAUAAAUAAGGCACUUUAGCCAAAGGAAACCCCCAGGUUUUGUGUUUCAAUGUACAGCAAUUCUAUCCAGAAAUAUUCUGUGCUUAGAAGUGUCACAUGAUGCAACAGUGAAUCAAGUGCCAAAACCAACAAAUCACAAAUUACCGUGCCGUUAACUGCAACCUCUGAAUGGUUCAACAAAGAAUCAAACUGGUUUCUGUACACCGUCACAAUUUACCAAUACGCUGGCAUCUUUUGCUCUUUUGCUGUGAGCCAACAGUAAUUAUUUUAGAGAAAGAAAAAGAAAGUGUGGAAUUAGUAAUGCAGAUGCUGAAAGGCAAGUGGCAAGACUCUACAAGAAGAAUGCCUCAAAAAAUGCUACUUUGUUCCCAUUUCUACUGGCACCCAUUCGCCAAGGUAAAAGGCCAGAAUGACCAAAGCCAACUUAACAGUAGUGUGCAGAAUGUCAGCUGACAAACAACAUAAAAACAAGUCACGUUGUGUUAUCUGUGGUCACGUUCUUCAGGGUUAGUCCAGUAACUCAAGACUUUACAUUCUUCCGUCUUUAUUUGUUUAUUUUAAUUAAACAUGUAAUGGUUAAUAAACAGACAUAGUCCAGAGUUAGUAGGUUGGUAUUAUAACAUUUAUUAAAAUAAUGCUAUGGGUUAAUAGAAACAGCAAAGAACCAAAGAAUUAAAAUGCAAGCUAUGUAAAAACCCAACUAAAACCCAAAUAUGUCUAAUGUAUUCAUCCAGUAGCUAACUAAAAGCCCAAGAAAGACAACACUCCCAAUAUAAUAAAGUACUGCAAAACAAUUGGCAAUUUUUCAGUUAUCAAAAUUGUGGGUUUUGCAUUUUGUAUCCUUUUUUCUCAAUCAGGAAAAAAAUUCUUUUGAAUGUUAUAUAACAUACAUAUAAAACAAGAUAGAAAAAUACAUUAUAAACUUGUAACAAUGGCUGUAAAUACAUUAUCUUACAUGUUUCUCAUAGGCAAUAGGUUGGUUAUGGUACAUACAUAGCAUGAAACUACUAAGAUAAUAAAGAAUAGACAAAUACAUGUCAUCUGUACGGUUACAUACAAGCGACACUCCCAUCUACCCACUCUAAAAAAAUUACAUAAUACUGUCAGAAAGAAGUCUUAAAACUACUUAUUUUAAUAAAGAAAAAGUCAUUAAAGAAUGAUAAUACUGAGAACCAAGGCAUUCAGAGAUUUCAAAAGUCAUGCUUUUUUUUUAAGUUGAUCCAAAAUUUUGUCAACUAAGUUUUCAGAAGUUUGUUCAGAGCAAACAUUACUUUCACAUGUCACACAUCUAUUCCAUACACUUCCCCUCCCCCCCCCCCCCCCCC